UUAAAUUGAAGAGUUUGAUCAUGGCUCAGAUUGAACGCUGGCGGCAGGCCUAACACAUGCAAGUCGAACGGUAACAGGAAACAGCUUGCUGUUUCGCUGACGAGUGGCGGACGGGUGAGUAAUGUCUGGGAAACUGCCUGAUGGAGGGGGAUAACUACUGGAAACGGUAGCUAAUACCGCAUAACGUCGCAAGACCAAAGAGGGGGACCUUCGGGCCUCUUGCCAUCGGAUGUGCCCAGAUGGGAUUAGCUUGUUGGUGGGGUAACGGCUCACCAAGGCGACGAUCCCUAGCUGGUCUGAGAGGAUGACCAGCCACACUGGAACUGAGACACGGUCCAGACUCCUACGGGAGGCAGCAGUGGGGAAUAUUGCACAAUGGGCGCAAGCCUGAUGCAGCCAUGCCGCGUGUAUGAAGAAGGCCUUCGGGUUGUAAAGUACUUUCAGCGGGGAGGAAGGGAGUAAAGUUAAUACCUUUGCUCAUUGACGUUACCCGCAGAAGAAGCACCGGCUAACUCCGUGCCAGCAGCCGCGGUAAUACGGAGGGUGCAAGCGUUAAUCGGAAUUACUGGGCGUAAAGCGCACGCAGGCGGUUUGUUAAGUCAGAUGUGAAAUCCCCGGGCUCAACCUGGGAACUGCAUCUGAUACUGGCAAGCUUGAGUCUCGUAGAGGGGGGUAGAAUUCCAGGUGUAGCGGUGAAAUGCGUAGAGAUCUGGAGGAAUACCGGUGGCGAAGGCGGCCCCCUGGACGAAGACUGACGCUCAGGUGCGAAAGCGUGGGGAGCAAACAGGAUUAGAUACCCUGGUAGUCCACGCCGUAAACGAUGUCGACUUGGAGGUUGUGCCCUUGAGGCGUGGCUUCCGGAGCUAACGCGUUAAGUCGACCGCCUGGGGAGUACGGCCGCAAGGUUAAAACUCAAAUGAAUUGACGGGGGCCCGCACAAGCGGUGGAGCAUGUGGUUUAAUUCGAUGCAACGCGAAGAACCUUACCUGGUCUUGACAUCCACAGAACUUUCCAGAGAUGGAUUGGUGCCUUCGGGAACUGUGAGACAGGUGCUGCAUGGCUGUCGUCAGCUCGUGUUGUGAAAUGUUGGGUUAAGUCCCGCAACGAGCGCAACCCUUAUCCUUUGUUGCCAGCGGUCCGGCCGGGAACUCAAAGGAGACUGCCAGUGAUAAACUGGAGGAAGGUGGGGAUGACGUCAAGUCAUCAUGGCCCUUACGACCAGGGCUACACACGUGCUACAAUGGCGCAUACAAAGAGAAGCGACCUCGCGAGAGCAAGCGGACCUCAUAAAGUGCGUCGUAGUCCGGAUUGGAGUCUGCAACUCGACUCCAUGAAGUCGGAAUCGCUAGUAAUCGUGGAUCAGAAUGCCACGGUGAAUACGUUCCCGGGCCUUGUACACACCGCCCGUCACACCAUGGGAGUGGGUUGCAAAAGAAGUAGGUAGCUUAACCUUCGGGAGGGCGCUUACCACUUUGUGAUUCAUGACUGGGGUGAAGUCGUAACAAGGUAACCGUAGGGGAACCUGCGGUUGGAUCACCUCCUUACCUUAAAGAAGC
rnacentral:rRNA from 1 species